CCUGUGGGCUGCUGCCUGCAGAGAGCCAGCAGGUGCUGCUGGGCUGGGUCUGCCAAGGAGCAGCAAUAGCAGGCAUCUCAGCCAGUCUACUGCAAGCUAGAGCCUAGAGGAAAACCCCUGCUGCGGGGAAUGGGGAGGAAUUCAGAGCCUUGUCUGCAGCCUGGCUGGAGGGGGACGAGAAACCAAUGUGACAAUAAAGGCCACGCAGCCCUCUUGCCUCCCCAAGGAACACCUGCAGCUACUUCUGCUUAGAAGACAGCACCUGCUGCUUCUCUUUGCUGUUGCCACCAGCACCACAUAGAAAUUUCCCAGAAUGCACUGUAGGACUGGCACGAGGAAUAGGAGAAAGCUACUAUGGCCUUUGAAAAGAGUAUUGUUCCAAUGCCUUUUCCAGAGACCUCUCUCAGGCUUGUGGGCAGAGAAAAAAGAUUAUCAAAGUAGGCUAAUCAUGGUGGCUUAUGUGGAUUGGAGAACUUCUCAGCAGAAAUGCUCUUGGACGUUGGAGAAGUGGGGUAGAAGUGAAGAACCUACAGGCACUCUCAUUCCGAAGUCUGGGAGGAGGCUGAGCUGAAGAUGCUCUUGGUGGUGUCCUCCCUGAGCUCUGUGUGUAUGUGUGUAUAAAAGAAGAAGAGCUUAGUAACAGCCUUCCCCACUCCAUGAUCUUGAAAAGGAGCCUAGAAAUAAUAUUGAGGAUAAGA